rnacentral:rRNA from 1 species
GAGCUCGUAGGCGGUUUGUCGCGUCUGUCGUGAAAGUCCGGGGCUUAACCCCGGAUCUGCGGUGGGUACGGGCAGACUAGAGUGCAGUAGGGGAGACUGGAAUUCCUGGUGUAGCGGUGGAAUGCGCAGAUAUCAGGAGGAACACCGAUGGCGAAGGCAGGUCUCUGGGCUGUAACUGACGCUGAGGAGCGAAAGCAUGGGGAGCGAACAGGAUUAGAUACCCUGGUAGUCCAUGCCGUAAACGUUGGGCACUAGGUGUGGGGAACAUUCCACGUUUUCCGCGCCGCAGCUAACGCAU